AUUUAUUAGAACUCAAAGGAAAUACAACACGAUGAUGUUUUUGCGAACUGGCAUACUUCACAAUGUAGGGAUUUUCAUCCACACCUUUGAAUAAAGUUGUAAAAAUAGUUUUUAAAACUAAAAAUGAUGGAUGUCAUAAACGAUGAUGCUAAAGAAAAGUCCGAAGUUUAUUUUGUGAGAGCCUUUCAGAUAAAUGAGGUAAAGAUAAUCAAUCUCCAUCUCCACCAUAACCAGUAUCCAAGAAAUGAAGUUCUUCCGUCUCCUUAGCAAGUCCAAUCGUCUUUCCCAUAACCAUUUCCUAAAGACACAAUGAUCAGAGAAAAAUAUAACUUUGCAAUUUAGAUCUUUUGUGAGUUUAUGAAUAGACAACAAAUUAAUAGAACAUUUAAGAACUUGAAGUACAGAUUUUAGUGAGAGAGAAGAACUGACAGGAAUGGUAACCUUUCUUGUAAUGGAUGCCAAUGUACCAUGUGCAACUUUUAUUUUUUGAUUUCCGAGACAUGGUGUAUAUGUGGUGAAGUAAUGUGAUGAGUUGGUCAUGUGAUCAAUAGCACUUAAAUCAACAUCCCACAUAUCAUGUGUUUUACAGUUCUUUGAGGCACUAAGAGCUUUGGAUAAAUUAUAGUUACCUGAGUGCACAAAUGAACAUGAACCAAUCGAUUUUUCUAUUGAAGUAAGAAGACUUCGAAGCUUCUCAAUCUCCUCUUUGUUUAAUGUAUUCGUCUUAGGCUCAUUGUCGAUGUGAUCUUCAUCCAUAACCACUGUGUUUGCUAGGUUGUUGCGUUUGAUAUAUAUUGUUGCUGCUUGUUAUUUCUACCAAAUUAUGAUGGCUUUCCGUUUAGUUUCCAACAGGUCUCCCUUGUAUGUCCUCUCCUCUUGCAAAAGUCACACCAACGGUCAUCUUUAUUUUUCGGUGGUUCUCUAUUGUCAUGAUUUUACUUGAGGGCAUCAAAACUAUUUGAACAAGGCUUCUUUAGGAGGAAAAUCAAGCAUCACAGUCCUUCCCUCCUCAGUUCAAAAUAAUGGAUAACACUUCACUUGAGGAAUGUACCUCUUCCUUUCCAAGUACCUGCACAUAAACUUCAUCAAAUUCCAUUAAGUCCGGCCAAGAAUUCAUAUAAUAUUUCUCCUUCGACGAAUUUCAACAUCUUUGCAACAUCAUCACCACACCUUGUAUUGAGAUUUUGAUAAUAAUCAAGUUCAAGCCAAAAAGCAUUCGAG
rnacentral:lncRNA from 1 species